rnacentral:rRNA from 1 species
GUAGGGAAUAUUGGGCAAUGGGCGCAAGCCUGACCCAGCGACGCCGCGUGGGUGAUGAAGGUCUUUGGAUUGUAAAACCCUGUCAGUGGGGAAGAACCGCAUCGGGAGUUACUGCCCGGUGCCUGACGGUACCCACAGAGGAAGCUCCGGCUAACUCCGUGCCAGCAGCCGCGGUAAUACGGGGGGAGCGAGCGUUGUUCGGAUUUACUGGGCGUAAAGGGCGCGUAGGCGGGUCAUCAAGUCAGAUGUGAAACCCGGCGGCUCAACCGUCGGCCUGCAUCUGAAACUGGCGACCUUGAGUACGGGAGAGGAAAGUGGAAUUCCUGGUGUAGCGGUGAAAUGCGUAGAUAUCAGGAGGAACACCGGUGGCGAAGGCGGCUUUCUGGCCCGAUACUGACGCUGAGGCGCGAAGGCCGGGGGAGCAAACAGGAUUAGAAACCCCAGUAGUCC